UGGGGAAUAUUGGGCAAUGGGGGGAAACCCUGACCCAGCAACGCCGCGUGAAGGAAGAAGGCUUUCGGGUUGUAAACUUCUUUUACCAGGGACGAAGAGAGUGACGGUACCUGGAGAAAAAGCCACGGCUAACUACGUGCCAGCAGCCGCGGUAAUACGUAGGUGGCAAGCGUUGUCCGGAUUUACUGGGUGUAAAGGGCGUGUAGGCGGAGAUUCAAGUCAGGAGUGAAAUCUAUGGGCUUAACCCAUAAAACUGCUUUUGAAACUGAAUCCCUUGAGUAUCGGAGAGGCAGGCGGAAUUCCUAGUGUAGCGGUGAAAAU
rnacentral:rRNA from 1 species